GAGGUAGUGACAAUAAAUCACAAUGCGGAACUUUUAGUUUUGCAAUUGGAUUGAGAACAAUGUACAAAUGUUAUCGAUAAACAAUUGGAGGGCAAGUCUGGUGCCAGCAGCCGCGGUAAUUCCAGCUCCAAUAGCGUAUAUUAACGUUGUUGCAGUUAAAAAGCUCGUAGUUGAAAUGUGGGAUGAAGUAAAUAAUGAAUUUCUAAUUCAAUUGUAUAUUGAUUCCCCUCUCCAAUUUAUUAUUAUGGGUAUUAAUUUAUUUGUAAUAAGAAUUGGUCAUUUACUGUGAGAAAAUUAGAGUGUUCAAAGCAGGCAUUUGCUUGAAUAGAUUAGCAUGGAAUAAUACUAAAAGGCUUUUAUGGUCGAUUUAAUUGGUUCGUUCAUAAAAGCAAGAUUAAAAGGAACAGUUGGGGGUAUUCAUAUUCAAUAGUUAGAGGUGAAAUUCUCGGAUUUAUGGAAGAUGAACAAGUGCGAAAGCA
rnacentral:rRNA from 1 species